rnacentral:rRNA from 1 species
AAAAACAUAGCCCUACGACACUCUUGUAAGGUGAAGCCUGCCCAAUGACUGCCAAUAAUCUAAUAAAAAUCAGUUCAAUGGCCGCGGUAACUCUGACCGUGAUAAAGUAGCAUAAUCACUUGUCACUUAAUUGGUGACUGGAAUGAAUGGCUAAACGAAUCCUCCUCUGUCUCUGAAGAAAUCCUGGCAAAUUUGAAAUAGCAGUGAAGAUGCUGCUAAAUAAUUGUAAGACGAAAAGACCCUAUCGAGCUUUACUGGAAUCUUGCAAAGUAACAUAGUUAUUAAGGACAAAAUUAUACAAAUUGCAAGCCCGACAGUUUGGUUGGGGCGACCACCCCUAAAAACGUAUCAGGGGAACUCUAAAGGCUGUCAUAAUAUGAAAAACCGCCUUACUGGAGACAAACAAGUCAAUCAGUUAUAAUUUAUAGGACAUAUUGACCCGUUAUUUAGCUUCACAACAAAUAACGACUAUGAAAAAAGUUACCGUAGGGAUAACAGGGUAAUA